CCGAGCUCCAGUUCUCACUGCUCGCCUGUCCAGGUGGCUGGCUGCUAGCCUGGCUGCAAAUGGGAAACAUCUACACACGAUGACAAAGAACCAGGGCUGGGAUAUCUCUGUGGUCUGGAAAGCAAUGUGACUCUGCUUAUGACUGGCACAGGAAUGACAGCACCAGCCUGUGCUAAAGUGCUGUGCUAGUGUUUAAGAGAUCAGACGAAGCUUUAUUCCUGAGCACAGGCUAAUGUGUAAACACCAAGCUUUGGAGGCAAGCCUGGGCUUAAAUGCAUGCCCAGACCUGUGCUUAACAGAGUGCAAGCCCAGCUAUGUGACUCCAGCAGGGUCAGGAUGCGGCUAUUAAGACUACCAACCUCCCCUGUGAAAACAGCCAACAACCUCUAGCUUCUUAUUUUAGUGUUACCUAACAGAAAUAGGCAGCAUACGCCUUUGACAGCCUCUGAAGCUUUUGUUUUGUGAAGCUAUACAAUUUUCCAGGAUUACCACACAGUGUCAUCAGGGAAGAGGAAUACAAAUAUCCUUAAGUCAUGCAACAGUAAGGACCCAAACUCCUUGCUGUUUUACCAAGCAAGCUCACAACUGAAGUCUUGUGCCCUUGCUUACUCCAACUGUUCACAUGCUUAACAGCUCAGAUUUAGAAGGAAUUCCCUACAUUUUUUCUUCCACUCUCUGAGUGCCUCAUCUAGCUCAGGUUUCAGAGAUAACUGACUCUUAAGAGAUUUCCCAGGAACCGUUCAGUUCUUGAAGAAUCCAGACAACUGGGACAACACCAUGUUUAACCUAGCGAGAAGGGAACAGAGUGGAUUUUAUACUAUGUGGGUCACUCCUGUGAGAUUCCCAGUUUGGAUUAACCCAGAUUUCAAUGAUUGCUUUCUUAUUACAGAGGAAAGUAAGUGCAAUUCAUGAAUAAUAGUAACAAAAAGUGCUCUAUCUAAUUUCUCCUGUAUAUUCAAAUCAAAUAAAAGCUUCACAAAGUUUAGGUUCAGAUAGCUGGGAUCCAUAAAGACAGAAAAACAACAAAGCAUCCCUAAACCUGAUCCAGAAGUAGUCUUCCCUGGAGUUUCGUCCAUCAUUGCUUGGCUCAAAAUCAUGGCAGGUGGUGGGUUCGACAGCUUCUGACAGGGGAUAACCUCUGUUAGAAGCACAAGGAUUUCUUAAUUGCAUAAGUCUUUUCUGGAAAAUAAACUAUAAAUGUUUUAAACAAAAAGUAGAUAAAAAUUGAAGAUGGAAAUACAGAAUCAUAACACAGCAAGAUUAGCCCUUAACCCACAGGAUCCUAUUAGUCCCUUUUUAACUCUGCUAUGCAAGUGCAAUUACAAAUAGCCUCAGAAGAUGUGCAGAGGCUCAAGGAACAAAAUGGAUUUUUGAUCUGCAAAAAAAGGAUUUUUGUUUGGCUAGUUCUGUAUUUGCUAUGCACUUUAAUCUGGGCCCAUUGCUUAUAGGAGAUAAAUGUAAUUUCAUAUAAAGCUGCAUAAACUAAAUAAUGUCUGUGUUUGUACAGAGGACUUAUCUGUUCACUGAUGUGAAAUGAAAUGAACAAUUUGUCAUUACCUACUUGCUGAUUAUUUUUUUUUUUACAUUUUAGAACACGUAAACAGAGCGCACUUGUUUAUCCAACCUGCGAUAAUGCCAGAAGUCACCUCCCUCAUAUCCUGCCACACAGACUUGAGGACAAACUGUGACUGCAACUGAGGCAAGGCACAUAAGGCAAGCUGGGCACUGCUACGAACAGUGCACAUUGAGUGGCUGCAGUAAUUUCAUACAGCAGGAUUUAACAGGAACGAAGGGAGCUACGGUGUUUCUAGAACACAAAGCAGUAUGACAAACUCAAGAAUGAAAUAUAAAAUGGCUGAAACUCAUUGAAGCACGGAAAAAUAACUCUGGAUGGAGCUGUGGAUUGUACUGUUAUAGGUAAUGGAGCAGAGUAAAAAAAGAACCCUCCGUGAUGCUCUCACCUACCCCAGGAAAGAUGUCACCUCCUCUACCAGGAAAAGAUGGAACAAUAGGAGUUGGCCUACCUGCUUAACAUGGUCUGUCUCCACACUGCAUUUGUAUUUGAGAUCCAACUAGUCAUAGUCAUUGUGCCAUCCCCUUUUUAUUUAAAGAAUAAAAGCUUACUACACUGGUACCACUCCCAACACCAGGCUUUGUUUGGCUUAUUCACUCAGCAUACAUACAAACUUCGCAUGACUGGGAUGUUUUGGAAUGAAAAAUGUGACUUGUCAACCCUUGAUCUCUAUAAAACUGAUGCAGAUCAUCAGAAUAUGAGUCUACUGUGUCCUGUGAGGUGCUCCCAACUACUUUGCCAGCUAUGGGUGUGCUGCUCUUGUAGAUAUGAAUGCAGAGCAAGGAAGACAUGCAGCUUCUAUUUUGGUAAUAACUGGUUUGCUAAUACGCAAUUUGAUAGCUUAUUUUUCAGACCACAACAGUCCCACUGCCCACAAAGCUCAAAAGGAACAGUAACAAAGAUCCUCUGGAAAAAUCAGGAAAAUAAAUAUCACAUAAGGCAGACCAAUUAAUUUGUCCACUAUACAGACAUUCAACUGCAAUACGCUGAAGAGCAUACAGCACAAGCUGAAUUGAGCAUUUUAAGAACAUAGGUGUUCAAUUUUAAAAGCAGUCUUUCUUUGGCUAGAAUAUUAAUAACGUGUUUUUAUAAACAGAAGUUUUGCUUUUUAAUGUUAUUACUGUCAUGAGGCACAUGCACCCGACAUUGCAUCUCUUCUUUUCAACUUGGCCUCAGGUUUUAAAACGGUAUUCUUAAAUAUAAACAAUAAUAACACUCCAUUGAAAGCAAUUUUUAAGACCUACGGGUCACACUGUCAGCCUAAAGGGAGAAGAGGGAAUUAAGAACUGAAAGAGAGAAAUAUUCCAGUAAUAAAAGCUACAGCAGAAUAGAUGGCAAAGCAAGUGCUGCACUCCAGCUCUUUAAAGCUGCGUGUGUCACGAUCUAUUCAACUGUAUAUCAGCACAAACUUUCUGUAGAGCUAACAGGCCCUUUGUGUCUCACAAAGUACGAGUACGUAUGGGAGUAUAUGCCUCAAGUAGUUUCUUUUUCUUCAGUUCUGAAAGCACGGAAAAAUAAAUUUUGAGGAAGUGUUUUAGGAUGCUUGCUCUGGAAAAUUACUACCAGAAACUAAACAAAUCCAUGCCAGAACACAGCCCUGAAGAAUUACAAUAUCCCUCGAGCAAAUGGAGAAGACAAAGAUGACCCUGCAUGUCACUGCAGACUACCAACACCAGUACACAGACCAGCAGACACUUCAGCAGUGUGUUUGUGGAAAGUGUCAGCAAUCGGUCAGGCCCGGAGCAGUCGUGUGUAAUAAAGCUCAUCUGUUAUGGGUACCUACCUGUGUGGCAUAGCUAGGCACAGACAGCGUUUUCUUCUUGCUAAAAAUACUUUCUUCCCCUCUCUAAAAUGACAAAAGUAUAACUUUGCCUGACCUAUUUUUCGUCCUUAUUCAUUCUGUGGAAAUCUUGCAAAGCUGACACCUAAUUUCCAGGUGCUGUUGCUUAGCUUCCUAAAAUAUUAAUACAAGUGUAAUAAUUAUCCCUUUUCAUCAUCACAUAGGACAGGCAACAGAUGCAAAGACUACAAUCACAUCAGCACCCUCCUAUCUGAGGCAUGUUUAUGAUAUCAGAAGAUCCCUCUACCACUGUCAAUCAAUAAGCUGUACUACACAGAUGCGUUUUAUGUCAUGAGCUAAUCAGAUGUUAUACUGGUCUAGUGUAAUUGUACCUGCAGAGACCCACAGUAGAGCACAAAAAUUACAGGGAAAAUAUGGACUAAAAUCCAGAGUGUCUGAUAAGGUAGCCACCAUAGCUAACUGGACUCCUUUCUCAAGUGACAAGAGAUAGGAUGUGAAGAAAUGGCCUCAGGGUGCACCAGGGGAGGUGUAGAUCGGAUGUUAGGAAGAAUUUCUUCACACAGAGGGUGGCCAAGCACUGGAACGGGCUGCCAAGGGCAGUGUGGGAGCCCCCAUCACUGGAAUUAUUUAAGAGGUGUGUGGAUGUGGCAAUCAGGGAUCUGGAUUAGUAAUGGGACUCUACAGGUCAAGUUGAUGGUUGGGCUUGAUGAUCUGGAAGGUCUUUUCCAGCCUAGAUGAUUCUAUGAUGAUUCUCUGUUGUGGUUAGUGCAUUCAAGAGUGGUGCCAGGUAGAGAUAGAAGCCUUCAAUGAAUGGGGUGCACCACGGGUGCUGGUUCUGACAUGGGUUUAGAAAGAAGAAAGGAAUGAGAUGAGCACAGAUGUAAGACUGGUGAUGGAGAGUGUCAGGGAACUACUGAGUAACAGGAAAAUUUCAAACAUCUUGUAAAUGUUCUGGAUGAUUUCAAAC